AAAUGAAUAGACGGGGACCCGCACAAGCAGCGGAGCAUGUGGUUUAAUUCGAAGCAACGCGAAGAACCUUACCUAGACUUGACAUCUCAAGCAUUAACCUUAAUCGGUAAAAUCCUCUUUUCGGAGAGGACUUGAAGACAGGUGGUGCAUGGUUGUCGUCAGCUCGUGUCGUGAGAUGUUGGGUUAAGUCCCGCAACGAGCGCAACCCUUGUUUUUAGUUGCCAUCAUUAAGUUGGGCACUCUAAAGAGACUGCCUGGGUUAACCAGGAGGAAGGUGGGGAUGACGUCAAAUCAUCAUGCCCCUUAUGUCUAGGGCUACACACGUGCUACAAUGGCAAGGACAGAAAGAAGCAAUACUGUAAAGUGGAGCAAAACUCAAAACCUUGUCCCAGUUCGGAUUGUGGGCUGAAACUCGCCCACAUGAAGUUGGAGUUGCUAGUAAUCGCGAAUCAGAAUGUUGCGGUGAAUACGUUCCCGGGUCUUGUACACACCGCCCGU
rnacentral:rRNA from 1 species